rnacentral:rRNA from 1 species
AAAGGUAGUAAAAUCUACGGCCUGAAUGUGCUCACAAUCUUGUCUGAUCUUGGAAGCUAAGCAGGGUUGGGCCUGGUUAGUACUCGGAUGGGAUUCUAGCUCAGAUGCAUGGCAGUCACCUGUA